rnacentral:rRNA from 1 species
GAUGAACGCUGGCGGCGUGCCUAAUACAUGCAAGUAGAACGCUGAAGGAGGAGCUUGCUCUUCUGGAUGAGUUGCGAACGGGUGAGUAACGCGUAGGUAACCUGCCUGGUAGCGGGGGAUAACUAUUGGAAACGAUAGCUAAUACCGCAUGACAACAGUUAUUGCAUGAUAACUGUUUAAAAGGGGCAACUGCUCCACUACCAGAUGGACCUGCGUUGUAUUAGCUAGUUGGUGAGGUAACGGCUCACCAAGGCGACGAUACAUAGCCGACCUGAGAGGGUGAUCGGCCACACUGGGACUGAGACACGGCCCAGACUCCUACGGGAGGCAGCAGUAGGGAAUCGUCGGCAAUGGACGGAAGUCUGACCGAGCAACGCCGCGUGAGUGAAGAAGGUUUUCGGAUCGUAAAGCUCUGUUGUAAGAGAAGAACGAGUGUGAGAGUGGAAAGUUCACACUGUGACGGUAGCUUACCAGAAAGGGACGGCUAACUACGUG